rnacentral:rRNA from 1 species
GUGACUACCUAACACUGUUGCUUCGGCGGGGAGCCCUCUCGGGGGCGAGCCGCCGGGGACUACUGAACUUCAUGCCUGAGAGUGAUGCAGUCUGAGUCUGAAUAUAAAAUCAGUCAAAACUUUCAACAAUGGAUCUCUUGGUUCCGGCAUCGAUGAAGAACGCAGCGAACUGCGAUAAGUAAUGUGAAUUGCAGAAUUCAGUGAAUCAUCGAGUCUUUGAACGCACAUUGCGCCCCCUGGCAUUCCGGGGGGCAUGCCUGUCCGAGCGUCAUUGCUGCCCAUCAAGCCCGGCUUGUGUGUUGGGUCGUCGUCCCCCCCGGGGGACGGGCCCGAAAGGCAGCGGCGGCACCGUGUCCGGUCCUCGAGCGUAUGGGGCUUUGUCACCCGCUCGAUUAGGGCCGGCCGGGCGCCAGCCGACGUCUCCAACCAUUUUCUUCAGGUUGACCUCGGAUCAGGUAGGGAUACCCGCUGAACUUAAGCAUAUCA